GGGCUCGUGGUCUAGCGGUUAUGACGCUUCCCUUACAAGGAAGAGACCGGUGGUUCGAAUCCGCCCGAGCCCA
rnacentral:tRNA from 1 species